rnacentral:lncRNA from 1 species
GGCCUUUUUGCUGGUUUUCUUACUAACAGAGAGUUCAUAAACCAGGAUCUUCUUCGGCCUCCAAGGAAAAGUUAAGAGUCAGCAGAAGAUUCUUCCCAGGUCAAGUCCAGCCACUAGCGCCUCUCUCUCCGAAUCUUAGCCUGUCACCCCCUCACGACUCCUCGAAUGGCCCCUCCACUUCUACCCGGCUCGACAUGUCCACGACCACCACCGAAGCCGAGGAUUUCCCGCCCCCAACAUUUCUAAUUCUUAACA